GGAUUAAGCUAUUAGUGCAGAUUUGAGAGAAUCCUCGACUCCUUGAGAUGGAGAGUAAAUAUUGUCUAUAUCUUGGAGGCCGGAAUGGCCAGCGGGCUAAAUAAACCUUAAAAAAAAUAAAUAAAUUUUGUGACUGGGGCACACCUUGCCUAGGCAAAGCUAAGCUUGCCCAACACCUUUUGGCGCCUUUAAUAACACUUAUUCAUAUGCACUAUUACUUACUAUAUUUUCUCAGAAAAGCAAUAAAAAAAUACCUUUUACUUUAUUGACGUUUGAGAGGAUAAUGCUCUAAAUCACUUGAUGAUGACAUAUGCAACAAAAAACUAUUUGUUCGUUAAUUUAAAAAAGCUUCCUCUGAGUUUAAAAUGAGUGUCCCAAGCAUCAGUUUCCCAGCUCAGGGCAAGAUUAUUAGUAAUAAAUUUCCAGCCAUGAAAAAAGGAUAAACCAACAAUCAUAGUUAUUAAAGGGUGCACCUCUACUCAAUGCUCUAGCCUCUUAGCAGCUCUACCAAGGUCAGGUGCAUGCCUUAUUGCCUAUGCAAGCACAUCUUUCGAAUAAGGUGCAACAAUGGUGUGCCUUCAUUAUAUUUUGACUACCACUACUUAUUUUUUAUGGAAAAGUAUAAAAAGGUACCGAAAGGUUUUUCCGGCUUUGAUGCUUACGGGCCUAUAGUUCAAUUUUGAAAAAA
rnacentral:misc_RNA from 1 species